UACGAAGGGGGCGAGCGUUGUUCGGAAUUACUGGGCGUAAAGGGCUCGUAGGCGGCCAACUAAGUCAGACGUGAAAUCCCUCGGCUUAACCGGGGAACUGCGUCUGAUACUGGAUGGCUUGAGAUUGGGAGAGGGAUGCGGAAUUCCAGGUGUAGCGGUGAAAUGCGUAGAUAUCAGGAGGAACACCUGUGGUGUAGACGGCUUUCUGGACCAUAGCUGACGCUGAGACACGAAAGCGUGGGUAGCAAACAGG
rnacentral:rRNA from 1 species